rnacentral:lncRNA from 1 species
GGUUGUGUCAGAGAUGUAGGACCAGCUAUAGGUUGUGUCGGAGAGGAUGUAGGAGAGGAUGUAUCGCUGGUGUUGAUGUCCUCAUCAGCUUGUUGAAUUUGCGUUGCUUCGGUUUGUGUCGAGUUGCUGGUCUUAGUGUCUAGUCCUUUAGAGUUUCGAGUUCUUGUCACCAUCUAUACAUAGCCGAGUAUUACCAUAUCUUCUCUCUGUCGAAUCUGUUGUGAAGUCCGAAUUGAACUGUGAUCCAAAAAGAAAGAUAACUCCAUACUUGUUCGGCCUUACUCUAGAGAGAGAGAGAGAGUGUGUGUGUGUAGCGAGUUGCUCUUUUGUAUUCCUUUGUUCAUAUAAUCAGUUUUUGAGGUUGCCCAAAAAAAAGAAAAAAAAGAAAAGAGAAAAGAUUCAAAAGAAAAAAAGGGCUGUUUUUCAUAUUGAUUUUAGGUUUCUUCCACCU